CGCCUCGCGCACCGCUGCCACGCGGCACUCUGCCACCGGCCAGCGUCGCCGCCACCGCCGCAACCGCAGCCGUUUUGAGUGCGGUGCAGAGUGCGGCGCAGAAUGCGGCGCAGUGCGCGGCGCAGAGUGCGCCAGGCGCGGGGGGUGCGGGGGGUGCUUUGGCACAGCUGCAGCAGCUGCUGCUGUCGCAGCACGGAGCUCACUCACUGCUACUUCACACGCAGGUGCAGCAGGCGGUGGCGCAGGCGGCGGCGCAGCAGCUGCGGCAACUGCAGGCUCGCGCCUGUCUCCCGCCCCCCGGCUCGGCAGCAUACUGUGGCGAGGAGGCGAGAUCGCCUUCACCGCGACGGACGCCCCCGGGCGCGGGCGCGGGCGCAUUCCUGACGCCGCUAACGCCGUUGACGCCGCUCGCCCCACUGA